rnacentral:rRNA from 1 species
GACGAACGCUGGCGGCGUGCUUAACACAUGCAAGUCGAACGGAAAGGCCCUGCCUUUGUGGGGUGCUCGAGUGGCGAACGGGUGAGUAACACGUGAGUAACCUGCCCUUGACUUUGGGAUAACUUCAGGAAACUGGGGCUAAUACCGGAUAGGAGCUCCUGCUGCAUGGUGGGGGUUGGAAAGUUUCGGCGGUUGGGGAUGGACUCGCGGCUUAUCAGCUUGUUGGUGGGGUAGUGGCUUACCAAGGCUUUGACGGGUAGCCGGCCUGAGAGGGUGACCGGCCACAUUGGGACUGGGAUACGGCCCAGACUCCUACGGGAGGCAGCAGUGGGGAAUAUUGCACAAUGGGCGGAAGCCUGAUGCAGCAACGCCGCGUGCGGGAUGACGGCCUUCGGGUUGUAAACCGCUUUCGCCUGUGACGAAGCGUGAGUGACGGUAAUGGGUAAAGAAGCACCGGCUAACUACGU